AGAUACCAGCGAUCGUUGCCAAAGCCCUGUUACCUGUGGGGAAGGAUAUUACAAGUGGACUUUCAGGUAGGAAGCUCAAUAAUUGUAACACCAAACUCUGACAGAAUUACUCAAUUCAUCAGGACCUGGAUAUUCGCAUUGUGUAUUUCCACAAUUUUACUUCUGCACUAUUCUUAGUCUUUCAGAGGGAUCGAAAGGUUGAGUUACAGAUCUAUACAAUGACUGUCCUUCCUCGCUGGCUCCCCCACCUCUCUCUUUUGGUAGUUUUAUGCAAACACUGACUGGAUCCCUUACCUGGAGGAUAUUUAUGAAUGAAUUUGUUCUAAUGGUGAUCCAGCAUUUUCCCCAAGUAUCGCUCCACACAUGCCCAGAGAAUUUCUCAGUUUCACAAUCUGUGUCCUUCUAGUUUCUUACUCGCUACACUUAACUUUCU